rnacentral:rRNA from 1 species
ACUCAAAUGAAUUGACGGGGACCCGCACAACCGGUGGAGCGUGUGGUUCAAUUCGAGACAAAACGAAAAACCUCACCAGGACUUGACAUGAUACCGUACAUUUCCCUAGAAAUAGGGAGAAAUCCGCAAGGAUGGUACCACAGGUGCUGCAUGGCUGUCGUCAGCUCGUGCCGUGAGGUGUUCCCUUAAGUGGGGAAACGAGCGCAACCCCCAUCCAAUGUUAAAUAUUCAUUGGAAACAGACCCGUUUUAUCGGGAAGGAAGGAGGGGAAGACGUCAAGUCAGCACGGCCCUUAUGUCCUGGGCUACACACACACUACAAUGGCGAAAAACAACGGGCCGCAAGCUAGCAAUAGCAAGCAAAUCCCUCAAAUUUCGCCUCAGUUCAGAUUGAGGGCUGCAACUCGCCCUCAUGAAGUCGGAAUCGGUAGUAAUCGCAGAUCAGCAAGCUGCGGUGAAUACGUUCUCGGGUCUUGCACACACCGCCCGU